rnacentral:lncRNA from 1 species
UCUGAGCGCCAAAGCCGCCGCCGAGGAGGCCCUCGAAGACUUCGACAGGGUCAUCACCGACGCGUGGCUGCCCCACUGGCUCAACCGCGACAUCGAGUACGUCCGCGGCGAGCUCCGACAGCUGUGGCGCGCGUUCGUGAAGGUUUCCCGAGACGCCAUGGCUUCGUGGGGCGUGCUCGAGCGAUUCGACGAGUUGUACGCGAAGCUCACCGCCGCCGCCGCGCCGCACGUCGCCCACGUCAAAGACAUCCUCAUCGCGUGCUACGGCAGGGUCGUCGAGCAGAUCGACGAGCUCAACGCGAGGUGGUUCAAGGCGAGGGACAACGUCGUCAACCUGAUCAAGAAAUUCAAGGAAGCCGGGAAGCGCCGCCGCGAGCACGAGGCCAAGACCCGCGGCGUCAACCCCGACCGCGACAGGCGCGAGGACGAGAAGGCGGCGUACUCGCGGGAGUACUGGGACAGGCAGAGGCAGCGGCUCGGUCACCUCGGCGAGGACGCGUCCGCGGUUGCCAAGUACGCGCGCGCCAAGCUCGGGGGCUGGUACGGACAGGG